CAGCUUUAAAAAAUUUCUUUUUUGGACCUGGCAAUCCAUUGGGCAGAAAAAGUAGAGUUCACCUGCUUCUGUGACCUUAGCAUAUAAACUAAAUAAAAAAGAAAAAGCUCAACCAGUGAAGUUGUGAAGAUACAACACCCAACAGACCAAAGAAACUCAUUUUGGCUUCACCUACCAGCAUCAAGGGCAGGCCUCAAGCCCACACCCUCUUCCACCACCACCAGUACUCUCCCUACAGGCUUUGCUCGCAGGACUAAAGAUUGUGCAGACGGGGAAAAUUUAUUACAGGAAAGAAGAAUAAUAUGGAAUGGAUUAGAAGAUGCAAGCAGCUGUGCAGUACCUUUCAACUGAUGAAACAGCUUUAAGAUUUAUAAUUCUAUCACUG